GCGGAGUCUAGACUGGGAAAUGUGGGCGGGGCCUAUGAGAUCCCGGCCUCAGGGUGGACGCAGUGGUUCUGCACUGAGGCCCUCGUCAUGGUGGCGCCCGUGUGGUACUUGGUAGCGGCGGCUCUGCUAGUCGGCUUUAUCCUCUUCCUGACUCGCAGCCGGGGCCGGGCGGCAUCAGCCGGCCAAGAGCCACUGCACAAUGAGGAGCUGGCAGGAGCAGGCCGGGUGGCCCAGCCUGGGCCCCUGGAGCCUGAGGAGCCGAGAGCUGGAGGCAGGCCUCGGCGCCGGAGGGACCUGGGCAGCCGCCUACAGGCCCAGCGUCGAGCCCAGCGGGUGGCCUGGGCAGAAGCAGAUGAGAAUGAGGAGGAAGCUGUCAUCCUAGCCCAGGAGGAGGAAGGUGUCGAGAAGCCAGCGGAAACUCACCUGUCAGGGAAAAUUGGAGCUAAGAAACUGCGGAAGCUGGAGGAGAAACAAGCGCGAAAGGCCCAGCGUGAGGCAGAGGAGGCUGAACGUGAGGAGCGGAAACGACUCGAGUCCCAGCGCGAAGCUGAGUGGAAGAAGGAGGAGGAGCGGCUUCGCCUGGAGGAGGAGCAGAAGGAGGAGGAGGAGAGGAAGGCCCGCGAGGAGCAGGCCCAGCGGGAGCAUGAGGAGUACCUGAAACUGAAGGAGGCCUUUGUGGUGGAGGAGGAAGGCGUAGGAGAGACCAUGACUGAGGAACAGUCCCAGAGCUUCCUGACAGAGUUCAUCAACUACAUCAAGCAGUCCAAGGUUGUGCUCUUGGAAGACCUGGCUUCCCAGGUGGGCCUACGCACUCAGGUAAGCCCUGGAACGUGGCCUGCUGUGUGCAGUGUGGCCAGGGGUCUGUGUGGCUAGCAGAGAGGACCUGCCCUAAAGACAGAGUCUUGAUGCACCGUCUACCUUGUCCCCAACCAAGAGACACCAUAAAUCGCAUCCAGGACCUGCUGGCUGAGGGGACUAUAACAGGUGUGAUUGACGACCGGGGCAAGUUCAUCUACAUAACCCCAGAGGAACUGGCCGCCGUGGCCAACUUCAUCCGACAGCGGGGCCGGGUGUCCAUCGCCGAGCUUGCCCAAGCCAGCAACUCCCUCAUCGCCUGGGGCCGGGAGCCCCCUGCCCAAGCCCCAGCCUGACCCCAGUCCUUCCCUCUUGGACUCAGAGUUGGUGUGGCCUACCUGGCUAUACAUCUUCAUCCCUCCCCACCAUCCUGGGGAAGUGAUGGUGUGGCCAGGCAGUUAUAGAUUAAAGGCCUGUGAGUACUGCUGA